GCACUUGAGUGCGAUUACUAAUAUUGGAUUGAUACAGAGAAGGUUAGCAUGGGCCCGCGAAGGGAUGACACUCAAAUCCGUGCAGCGCUCCAGAUUUUU
ensembl:snRNA U6 U6 spliceosomal RNA